rnacentral:rRNA from 1 species
UUGCACGCUGGCGGCAUGCUUUACCCAUGCCAGUCGAACGGUAACAGGCCGCAAGGUGCUGACGAGUGGCGAACGGGUGAGUAAUGCAUCGGAACGUGCCCAGUCGUGGGGGAUAACUACUCGAAAGAGUAGCUAAUACCGCAUACGAUCUAUGGAUGAAAGCGGGGGACCGUAAGGCCUCGCGCGAUUGGAGCGGCCGAUGUCAGAUUAGGUAGUUGGUGGGGUAAAGGCUCACCAAGCCAACGAUCUGUAGCUGGUCUGAGAGGACGACCAGCCACACUGGGACUGAGACACGGCCCAGACUCCUACGGGAGGCAGCAGUGGGGAAUUUUGGACAAUGGGCGCAAGCCUGAUCCAGCAAUGCCGCGUGCAGGAAGAAGGCCUUCGGGUUGUAAACUGCUUUUGUACGGAACGAAACGGCUCUGGUUAAUACCCGGGGCUAAUGACGGUACCGUAAGAAUAAGCACCGGCUAACUACGUG